GGGAGGGGUGCGGCGGGGGAGGGGAAGAGGCCUGGCCCCGCGGCCGCCCGCCGCCGCCGCCCGCCGCCGCCGCCCCGGCCCGCCCGGCCCGCCGCGGGGCCACGGGCCCGACACGGCGCCCCGGAUUCGCCUCGGCUCGGCCGCGCGUGUACCUCCCUUCCUCCGUGAUCUCCGACGCUGGUAAAGUGGAAGGAACUCGGGUACCCUGCCACAGAAAAGUACUGGGACUGAGCAAGAGAAAGAGGGGAGCCUGGGUGGCUCAGUUGGUUAACUGUCCAACUUCAGCUCAGGUCACGACGUCACAGUUCGUGAGUUUGAGCCCCACAUCGAGCUCUGUGCUGACAGCUCGGAGCCUGGAGCCUGCUUCGGAUUCUGUCUCUCUCUCUCAAAAACAUUAAAAAAUGUUUUUCAAAAGAAAUCAUGAAUUUUAUGGGUGAAUUUUUAGAAACCAUUAAAAUGUUAUGGAGGUUUUUAAAAUUUUUACCUAUUAUUGAGAACUAUUUCAUAAGUUCAAAAGAAGAUCAGACAAGGCUUUAAAAAAUAUGACUAUUGUUAUGUUUACUAAACCAGAUGAUGGACACACGUGUUCAUUGUAAUAUUUUUUGUGGUUGAUGUUAUGUUACAUCAACCUUUUGAAUUUACGAAACGAACAAAGAGAGUAUGCAGGUGUCCACAGCCCUCCUUCAACUUUUCUGUAGGUUUGAAAAUUUUCCUAUUUUUCCAAUUAGGUGGAAGGGAACUAAUCGCAAAGAAAAAGCAAGGAAAUAAUGACAUAAAAUUCAGGAUACCGGGUGAGUCGAGGUGAGAAGGAAACCAACAGAAAAGUUGAAAGAGUGCUGUGGACCCCCGUGUACUCUUUUUUGUUUUUUAAGUUUUAAUUUAAAUUCCAGGAUAGCGUGAUAUUAACUUCAGGUGUGCGGUACAGUCGUUCAACACUUCCGUACAUCACCCUGUGCUCGUCACAAUUGCAUUCCUUAACCCCCAUCACCCCUUUCACACACACCCCCAUCCCUCUCCCCUGUGGGAACCACCAGUGUGUUCUCUAUAGUUAAGCGUGUGUUUCCCGGUUUGCCUCUCUUUUUCCCCUUUGCUCAUUUGUUUUUGUUUUUUUUAAUUCCACAUAGGAGUGAAACCAUACGGUAUUUGUCUUUCUCUGACUGACUUAUUUUGCUUAGCAUAAUACUUUCUAGCCCCAUCCAUUUCAUUGCCAGUGGGAAGAUUUCCUUCUUUUUUAUGGCUGAGUAAUAUUCCAUUGUAUCUACAAUGUACCACAUCUUCUUUUUAAAUUUUUUUUUAAUGUUUAUUUAUUUUUGAGACAGAGAGAGACAGAGCAUGAACGGGGAAGGGUCAGAGAGAGGGAGACACAGAAUCUGAAACGGGCUCCAGGCUCUGAGCUGUCAGCCCAGAGCCGGACGCGGGGCUCGAACUCACGGACCGCGAGAUCGUGACUUGAGCUGAAGUCGGACGCUUAACCGACUGAGCCACCCAGGCACCCCUGUACCACAUCUUCUUUCCCCAUUCAACAGUCGAUGGGCACUUGGGUUGCUUCCAUAGUUUGGCUAUUGUAGACAAUGCUGCUCUAAACUUCGGGGUAUUGGAUUCCUUUGAAUUAGCAUUUUUGUAUUCUUUGGGUAAAUACCUAGCAGUGCAAUUGCUGGAUGGUAGGGUAGUUCUAUUUUUAACUUUCUGAGGAACCUUCAUACUGUUUUCCAGAGUGGCUGAAUCAGUGUGCGCACCCACCAACAGCGCAUGAGGGUUCCCCUUUUUCCAGACCCUUGCCAACACCCGUCAUUUCUUGUGUUGUUGAUACCUGUAUACUCUUCUAGAUUUGGUGAUUGUUAAGCUUUUUCCACAUUGACAAAAUGGCACGAGCAAAUGCUUAUGAUCUAAUUUCUUUUUGUUUUUUGUUUGGUUGGGGUUUU